AAACUGGUAAUGUGUCUUUGUUAAUGUUUUUUUUUUUCCUUUCUUUUUUUGUUUCAAUUUAUUUAUUUUACGUAUGAGUGUCUGCAUGUAUAUCUGUGUGCCCAUGGAGGUCACAAGAGUGUUGGGUACUCUGGAACUGGAAUUAGAGGUGGCUAUGAGCCGCUGUGGCUGGGAAUCAACCUGGGUCCUUUUCAAGAGCAGCAAGUGCUCUUAACCUCUAGGCCAUCUCUCCAGCCUGUUAACGUUUGUUGACACUGCUUUGUCUACUCCUUAGUGAAGCCCCUCCAUCCUCUCUCAUGCAUGUGCACUUAUGGGUAGUUUUCUGAUUAAGUGUUACUUGUAUUUAUGACAGUUUUAGUCCUGAGCAAAGUCUUUAAGAAAAAAAAAGUACAGAGAACUCUUAUGCUCCUACCUGUGCCCAUGCCUCCCACAGCACAGCAUCUGUACUGUCAUUGUCCUGCUGCAUUUGUGUUCAUGGGGGAACCUAUUGAUAAACCAUCAUCCCCUGACUCCAUAGUAGACAUUAACCUGUUGUGGUACGAUUAGACUGUGUGACAUGCAAACCUGCACCCAUCACUCUCAUGGAAGGUCUUUACUUUGUCUUCAGUUUGGUUGGUAAGAUGUAGAGCUCUGACUUGUGAAGAGAAUGUUGGUUCUGUAGCGCUUACUGCCGCCAUGCCAUGCCAGUACAGGUCUAGGAGCCUCCCAUGAUGGGUCAGUACUACUGCAACAGACCUGCCUCAGGAACAACAGGUUUGCAGCUGAUGGUGCUUUCUUUCAUAGCACACAGAGGACCUGGCUGAGCUGUAGUUCUAGCCUGGAACUUGGAUUACAAGUGACAAGGAAGCUUCUAAUGUCUUCUCACUCUUCUUUCAGAAUUUAUGAGUUUGUUUUCUACACUGAGAGUAUAAAGAAUAUUUGAGAGUUAGCUUGACUCUGCUGAUCUUUCAAUGACAGACUAGUGUCCCGUCUUCCAUUAGUUGUCUUCUAGAAAAGCAAAUAGAAACCCCUUCCAUCCAGAAUUACAACAUUUAGUUGCUUAGUCCAGUUUCUCAUUAGGCAGAUUAUAAAAUGACAAGGAUCAGAGAAAUUGGAUGACAUUCCCUCGGGUCACCUGGCUUGUUUGCCAUGUGCUAUUGUAAAAUGAUGGUGGACAGAUAUCGCUUCAAAGUUAGCACAAAGGAUGAAAUCACUCAGUUAAGAUUACUCUGGGAGAGUCCUUAAGUUGAUCAUGAAUGUUAAAUAAGUGGAUCAUAACUGUCUUUGUUUGUUGUCUAUUGUGAUCAAGCAUCAUGUUCAGAAGCAACUUAGAAAGGAAAGGGUUUAUCUCAUCCUACAGCCUGCAGUCCUCCAUUGAGGGAAGCCAGGGCAGGAGCUGAAGCAGAGACCACGAGGACCACUGCCUACCAACUGGCAUGCUGAGUUUGCUUUCUUUCAUAACUCUAGCCUUUGUCAAGUUGAUGAAAAACCUCACCAGGACAGUAACUCAAUUCACGUUUAGUGAUGGAGGAUGAGAAGAAGGGUCUUUCAUUGUGAGAGAGAAAAGUCUAGGUGAAUGGAUUCUUGUGUGUGCCUCCUCUGUGUUGCUGGAACUCCAGAGCCCUGCCAUUGUUCUGCACCAAGAAAGGUCAGGGAAGUCUUUCAAGUUGCUGACUGUACUGCUCCUCAUCAGUGACGACCAACGAAUGAGGCCAAGCCUCCAUUCUCUUAAGAAAAUCUGCUGAUUGUUUGUUUUUCUUGUUUUGGUUUUAUUUUCUUCUCUCUAAUUUGCUUUCCAAAUGGUUUAGAUGUGGGCAAGUGCCCCUUAUGUUUAGAGAAUAGCCACAAGGUGGCACUGUUGAAGUUCCCCUGAUGGUUUCCAGCAGCCCCUUCAGGGGUGUGGGGUGUGCACAGCCUUGGAGAAGGGGCAGAACAGAUGAACAUGUGUUAUGUAUAUAAAUAUGGUUAGUAUAAUUGCGAACAAUUCAGUUUUCAUUACAGCGAAUUUUAAGGCAUUGUCCAUAUCUCUUUUAACGUGGAAUUUUGUGGUAUUGAAUGUUAUAUGAAAUGAAUGGACUGUUGGCUGGGACAUGGAAAUAUUUCUGUUAAAAUGCUAUUUGUUUUAACAGGAUUUGAUCUGAACAUAUAUACAUAUGUCAGUAUAUUUCACACACGAGAAUCUAAUAGCGAAGGACAAGCUGGCCCAGCUGAUUGUGUUUGUGAAGAGUAGACUUGGACUAACCCUGGCAUUAGUUCUUCUCCCAGGCCUAUGCUAGUAGAGCAUUGUGGGGAAAAGAUGUCUGCACGCACUUAAUGUAGGUUUAAUAAGAUGGAGAACAUUUUCAGUCAUUCUGCUAGUUCAGUGUCCAGUCAUUCAGUAAGUAUCUGGAGUUUGGAUUUUCACUGUUAAGAUCGACAAUCAUUUUAAACUUUUGGUUGUGAAAAACAUUAGUUC
rnacentral:lncRNA from 1 species